CCAGGAGCUUAUGCCUGGGACAGCCCCCACUGGCUUAUAGGUGGAUCAGCCGGUCAGGAGCUCAUGCCUGGGACAACCCAUCAAGAGCUUAUACCUAGGACAACCUCUCAUGAACUUUCGUACGUGGGACAGCCGGUCAGGAGCUCAUCCUGGGACAGCCUUGAAAGGUUUUUAAGUGAAAAUUGAUUCGAAUAAUGACUGGGGUAUAGAC
rnacentral:lncRNA from 1 species